rnacentral:rRNA from 1 species
UACAGAGGUCCCAAGCGUUGUUCGGAUUCAUUGGGCGUAAAGGGUGCGUAGGUGGCGCGCUAAGUCAGGUGUGAAAUUUCGGAGCUUAACUCCGAAACUGCAUUUGAUACUGGCGUGCUUGAGGACUGGAGAGGAGACUGGAAUUUACGGUGUAGCAGUGAAAUGCGUAGAGAUCGUAAGGAAGACCAGUGGCGAAGGCGGGUCUCUGGGCCGAUACGUGACGCUGAGGAGCGAAAGCGUGGGGAGCGAACAGG